UUCAAUAGAAGUGCAGUCGAAGAUGUACUUCCGGGAUAUUGUUCCAUACAGAAUCUAAGCACCGCAUUACAAGUUUCAUUACUUUCAAAUUCUUGCCUGCACAUACGACUCUUAUCAGAUGCACGCUGGUCAUUAUAUCUACAAAAGGGAAGGGGGCGGUCGGCGAGGAGUCUCUGUAGAGUUCAUUUUUAAGAAGAAACUCUCUUAGCUAUUUCAUAGUUAGACUAUAUGAAUAUAUCCCUGAGCAAAUAAGAAGUUCUUCUGGCGGAAAGUUUGGUCUUCAAGAUUUUAAUAGGCCAUGUGGAUAGUCAGAAAAUGAAGCUAGGAUAUCCUGCGAUCCUCCUGCUAAGCUUUUCACUUCUGAUCAGAAUAAAAUGGAGAAACGAAUAAAGAGGACACUUUUUGGUAUAGAAAUCUCUGAAAGCGAUAUAAGUUCAUCUGCUAUGACUUCGCAAUCUGAUGCAGCCAUUUCCGAGUCAUCUCCUAAUUGGACAAUACCUCCAAGUAGCUUGAGCAAGAACUUAACAUCAAUUCAAGUAAGCACUUCCGUUAAUACCUCCACACAAUCUAAUAGGGCUUCACUCAUUGAUGCCACAAAGCCGUGAAGUUACCAAGGACAGAUUGCUUCUAGACUGUAAUUCAAUACCGUCAACUCCCAGUCUGAAAGACGAAGUGUCACACCAAAGCGGUUUUUUCUUCCGCACUAAGUUGGAGUCCAAUGAAUUAUAGGCUUGUCACCCCUCAACGAACCUUGCCCACCAAAGGAACCAUUCAAGUUUAGGUCAUGGAGUGGAUGUUAAACCUACAAUUGAUGUGAAUGAUGUUCCUCCUAAUAAAUAUCUGCAUGGAGUAGCUUGUGAACAAAAUAUAGUUUCUCUCAAUGAGCUGAGGAACCAAGAAAGCCGGGAAGGAAGAUUGCAUUGGCUUGAAGCAGUAACACUUUGCAAUGGGAAAUCUUCAAAAGAAAUUGAAAGCAGACGCAUGUGUAGAGAGCAAUCGAAAGCAGACGGUCUGGUUCUACACAAGGGAUUUUCAAAUGAGAAUUCAGGUCCAAGACACCAAAUAGAAACUGAAACGACUGCUGCUUCCUCAGUUAUGAGGACAGAAACUGUGACAGAUUUGGAGGCACCGGUGAUAGUUGAAACAAGUAUAUAUGGGGAAGAUUAAACUGAAAAAGACGUAAGGAACUUCUUGACUCACCUCAUGAGGGCCUUAUUUGAGUUGCAGCCGAGGCUCUAGUUGCCAUCUCAUCAUCUCAAGCUCCCAAGAUGCAGGAAAAUGCCCCUUGUCGCAAUCUGGAAGCUUCGGAAAACGACUCCCUUCUUUGGUUUGAUAUUUGUGGUCCUUUUCCAGUCAAAACAGUAUGUGGAAACAAGUAUUUUGUUAACUUUAUAGAUGAUUUCUCUAGACUA